UUUGAAAUCUGGCUCUUUCAGAGUCCGAGUUGUAAUUUGCAGAGGGCGCUUUGGUGUCGGCAGCGGUCCAAGUUCCUUGGAACAGGACGUCACAGAGGGUGAGAAUCCCGUACGUGGUCGCUGACCUACACCGUGUAAAGCCCCUUCGACGAGUCGAGUUGUUUGGGAAUGCAGCUCUAAAUGGGAGGUAAAUUUCUUCUAAAGCUAAAUACUGGCCAGAGACCGAUAGCGCACAAGUAGAGUGAUCGAAAGAUGAAAAGCACUUUGGAAAGAGAGUCAAACAGCACGUGAAAUUGUUGAAAGGGAAGCGCUUGCAGCCAGACUUGCUUGUAGUUGCUCAUCCGGGCUUUUGCCCGGUGCACUCUUCUGCGAGCAGGCCAGCAUCAGUUUGGACGGUUGGAUAAAGGCCUCUGUCACGUACCUUCUCUCGGGAAGGCCUUAUAGGGGAGGCGUCAUGCAACCAGUCUGGACUGAGGUCCGCGCAUCUGCUAGGAUGCUGGCGUAAUGGCUGUAAGCGGCCCGUCUUGAAACACGGACCAAGGAGUCUAACAUCUAUGCGAGUGUUUGGGUGUCAAGCCCGAGCGCGUAAUGAAAGUGAACGGAGGUGGGAUCCCGCAAGGGUGCACCAUCGACCGAUCCUGAUGUCUUCGGAUGGAUUUGAGUAA
rnacentral:rRNA from 1 species